rnacentral:piRNA from 1 species
UCCAAGGCGCGAUAUUGAAUU